AAGGACGUGUAUUGCAGCCGGUCCAGCGGGAGACUGGGCACUGUAUAUUACCUCAUGGAGCUUGUGUAGACGCAUCAUGUCGGACUCAGUGGGUGACGAAUUAUAUGGAAAACUUUUGUUUUUCACAAAAUGCCUUUUCCUCGACUUCUCAGAGAAAAUCUGCACCCCGGCCGCCCUCAAACUUUAGGAAGCUUAGACCUGCUACUCAACGCACUGAAUACCAGGCUGCAUUCGGUCCUAAGGUCCUCUCUGCUAAGUUUGACUUCCGUCUGUUCUUACAGCUCCAUGGAAACGGGUUAAAG